GUCUUAUAGAUAAUAAUUUUAGGUCUAACCUGCCCAAUGAAUGUUUAAAUGGCCGCGGUAUUUUGACCGUGCAAAGGUAGCAUAAUCAUUAGUUUUUUAAUUGGAAGCUGGAAUGAAGGGUUUCAUGAAAGAAAAUCUGUCUCUAUAGAAUAAUUAGAAUUUUAUUUUUAAGUUAGAAAGCUUAAAUGUUCAUGGAAGACGAGAAGACCCUGUAGAGUUUAAUAUUUGCUAGAAAAAUAAUAUUUAUUGAGAAGACUAUUUAUUUUUAAAGUAAGUUUUUUGUUGGGGUGAUGAAAAAAUUUAUUGAACUUUUUUUAUAUAGAUACAUUAAUGUAUGAUUAAUUGAUCUUGAAGUUUAGAUUUAAAGAUUAAAUUACCUUAGGGAUAACAGCGUGAUUUUUUCUAGAGUUCUUAUCGAAAGAAGAGAUUGCGACCUCGAUGUUGGAUUAAAAUAAAUAAUUGGUGAAAAAGCUAAUUUAUUAGGUCUGUUCGACCUUUAAAAUUUUACAUGAUCUGAGUUUAAACCGGUGUGAG
rnacentral:rRNA from 1 species